AGUGAACGCUGGCGGUAGGCCUAACACAUGCAAGUCGAACGGCAGCACAGUAAGAGCUUGCUCUUACGGGUGGCGAGUGGCGGACGGGUGAGGAAUACAUCGGAAUCUACUUUUUCGUGGGGGAUAACGUAGGGAAACUUACGCUAAUACCGCAUAUGACCUACGGGUGAAAGCAGGGGAUCUUCGGACCUUGCGCGAUUGAAUGAGCCGAUGUCGGAUUAGCUAGUUGGCGGGGUAAAGGCCCACCAAGGCGACGAUCCGUAGCUGGUCUGAGAGGAUGAUCAGCCACACUGGAACUGAGACACGGUCCAGACUCCUACGGGAGGCAGCAGUGGGGAAUAUUGGACAAUGGGCGCAAGCCUGAUCCAGCCAUACCGCGUGUGUGAAGAAGGCCUUCGGGUUGUAAAGCCCUUUUGUUGGGAAAGAAAAGCAGCAGGUUAAUACCCCGCUGUUCUGACGGUACCCAAAGAAUAAGCACCGGCUAACUUCGUG
rnacentral:rRNA from 1 species